ensembl:lncRNA
GUAGGUGUUUUUCUCCCCCCGCCCCCGGGCACGCCGCGAGGGCGGAGGCUGCAGGAGAGCCGGGCCCGCGCUGGGCACGGGGAAUCGAUGACUCGGCCGGUGGGCACGGCCACCUGGGAGAAGGCGGGGGCAGCCGCGGAAACGGCCUUUUACAAGAUGGAGCCCACCAAGCCCCUUUGUCCAUGGGAUUUUCCAGGCAAGAAUACUGGAGUGGGUUGCUCUGCCUUUCUGCGGGGCAAUCUUCCUGAUCCAGGAAUUGAACCUGUGUCUCUUGCAUUGGCAGAAGAUUGAAUUAUGUGUUUUAAAUGAGUUAAUACCUUAAAACUGAAAUGAUAAAUGGCUGCCCGCCCAACUUAUGAUUCUUAGGCAACUCCAUUCUACCAACAAACCACUCAUUUUGAUUUGAUAACUCCUGACAACCUACAUUUUGACAACCCUACUUUGGAUGACUUUUCAAUAAAGCCAUGUAUUAAUUGAUGUUGCCUGGAAAGAAAAUGAUGACCAGAGAAAUGGCUAUGCUCUUGGUGUUUUAAAAUAAGUCGAAGUCCUGGGGAACACCAUCCCCCCAUCUUCCCUUCCUCUAAGUAUGGAUGUAGAGAAGGAGAGAGUCGGGUCCUCCUUAAUGAAGAUUCAUAUCCAUGAUGGGUCUUCAACAAAAGGAGCAGGAACUCAGAGGACCCUAGGAGUAUGAGAGAUCCACAUGUACUUUGUGAUGAGUCUGAUGAAGGUCCCGCAGCAUGAUGUACCACAACUUCACUCCAACCCAUGUUUCCAGUAGAUGAAGAGGGUUCUACAGUGUGUCCUGUACUGAGCUAACAAGAAGAAUCGUGGGACUCUUGUAUACUUGAAGAGAAAUAUACUGUGAAAAAAAUGUAUGUAUCUUAAUUUCUUUCGAACUCUUGUAUCUUUCAAUACCUUGCUGCUUUAAAAUUUUUUUAAUUCAAUUCAGACAUUCGGGUAUUUAUUCUUUAUGAUCCCUAAUCAAACAUGAUCUGCUAUCAAUUUCCCUGUAAGCACUGCUUUUGUGUACUGCACAAAUUUUGGUAUAUUGUAUAUUAAGUUCAAAAUACUUUCUUGUAAUUUCUUCUUUUACCUAUGGGCUAUUUAAAAAUGUUAUUUAAUGUCUAGAUAUUUGGGGAUUUGCACAUAUAUUGUAUUUUAAUUUCACUAUAUAGUCAGAAAUCAUAUUUUUGAAAUUUCAGUCAUUUUCUUUUUUUUUGGAACUUGCUCUGAGGCCCAGCAAACAGCUUUUCUUGGUGCAUUUUCUUUGUGCACUUGAAAAGAAAUGUGUAUCCUGAAGUUUUUAGAUCGUAUUCUAUAAAUGUCAAUUAGACUAAGUUGGCUGAUUGUAUUAUAAAAGUCAUUUAUAUCUCUGCUGAUUUUCUCUUUGUUCUGCUAAGUCGCUUCAGUCGUGUCCGACUCUGUUUGGCCCCAUAGACGGCAGCCCACCAGGCUCUGCCGUCCCUGGGAUUCUCCAGUCAAGAACACGAGUGGGUUGCCAUUUCCUUCUCCAAGGCAUGAAAGUGAAAAGUGAAAGUGAAGUUGCUCAGUCGUGCCCGACUCUUAGCGACCCCAUGGACUGCAGCCUACCAGGCUCCUUCGUCCAUGAGAUUUUCCAGGCAAGAGUACUGGAGUGGGGUGCCAUUGCCUUCUCCGUCUCUUUGUUCUAUCAAUUACUUUAUUGAUCAAAGAAGGGCUGAAAUCUCUGUCAUUGUGAAUUUGUCUGUAUGUCCCUUUGUUUGAACUAGUUUUUAUUUCUUUUAUUUUAAAGCUCUAUUAUUAGCUGAAUGCAUAUUUAGAAUUGUCAUAAAUGUUUCUAAUGAUUGACUUUUAUUAUUAUGAAAUAUCCCUCUUUAUUUUUGGUAAUAUUCUUUGUCCCUCUAAAGUCUACUUUGUUUAAUGUUAAUAUAGCCAUUUCAGUUUUCUUAUAAUUAGUGUUUAUAUUGUGUAUCUUUUUAAAUCCUUUUACUUUUAAUCUAUCUCUGUGUUUAAAAUGUGUUUCUCAUAUACAGUAUAUAGUUAGGCCUUGCUUUAUUAUCCAGUCAGAUUUCUCUGCCUUUUAAUGAGAUGUGCCUAGUCCAUUUACGGCUACUGUAAUUAUUGGUAUGGGUGGUUGAAGUCUGCUCUCUUGCUGUUUGCUUUCUACUUAUGCCAUCUAUUCCAGGUUCUUUUUUCUUCUUUUCCUGCAUUCUUUUGAGAUGUUUGACUAUUUUAAAUCAUUUUAUCAUCUCUAUUGUUUAUUAGUUAUGGCUCUGUUUUAGCUUUUUAAGGGUUACAACACAUGUCUUUAACUUACCGCAAUCUACCUUCAAAUAAUACUAUACUACUCACCUUAUAAUAGUAUAUUUCCAUUUCUCCCUUCCAAUACUUUGUGUUUUUGUUGCCAGAUGUUUUACUUCUAUAUGUAUUUUAUACAUCCACAAUACAUUCUAAAUAUUUUGUUUUACACAGUCAAUAGUCUUUUUAAAAUUUAUUUUAUUUUUUGGCUCCACCACACAGCUUGUGGUAUCUUAGUUCCCCAAACAGGGAUUGAACCCAGGCCCUGGCAGUGAAAACACAAAGCCCUAACCAUGGGACCACCAGGGAAUUCCCUAAAAUUUAUUUUAUUUUUAUAUUUAUAUAUAUAUAUGUGUGUGUGUAUAUAUAAUUUCCAGUGUUCAUUCCUUGUGUGCAAUCACUUUUCCAUCUGGUACAGUCCAGGUCUGCUGGUGACAGAUUCUCUCACUUUUGUCAGGAAGGCUCUUUCUUUUGUUUUCAUUUUCAAAGUAACAUUUUCUGUAUAAAGAAUUCUAAGUUGAUGAUGUUUUUAUUUGCAUGUCUGUUUGCUUUCAACACUUGUCUUCUGGCUUACUUUCUUUCUGAUGAAAAAUUGGUAAUCAUUCUUAUCUCUGUUCCCCUCUAUGCAAUGUAUCUUUUUUUUUCCCCUCUGACUGCUUUUAAGAUUUUCUCUUUAUCAUUGGUUUAUGGCAACUUAAUUAUGAUGUUCCUUGGUGUGAUGAUCCUGUGUUUAUCGCUGUCAGGGUUUAUUGCAUUUCUUCGAUCUAUGAGUUAAUGGUUCUCAUCUAUUGUGGGAAUAUUUCAAUCAUCAUUUCUUCAAAUAUUUUUUUCUGCCAGUCUCUUUCUUCUACUUUUGAAUUAUACUCCUUGAUGUUGUUCCACAAUUCACUGGGGCUCUGUCCUUUUUGUAUUUCUCCCCAGUGCUUCAGGUUGUAUAAUUCCCAUUGUCUCUUUUUCAGGUUUACUGAUCUUCCACAGUGAUCUGCUGCUGUUAAGACCUUGCAAUGAAAUUUUUCUUUCGAAUAAUGUAAUUUUUCAACUCUAGAAAUUAUAUAAGAUUUUCAAAACUUUUAGUGUCUCUAUUUAGAUACUUUACUUGUUUCCAAAUUAUUUCCUGUUUUUCAUUAUAUGCUUGAACAUAUUUAUAAGGUCUAUUUUAAAAUCCUUUUCUAUUCUAGUAGACUGAUUUUAUCCUAGUUAUGAGUUUCAUUUGCUUUCUUCUUUAUGUGUCUCCUAAUUUUCUGUUGGUGCUGAACCGUACUAUUGAGUUUCUAGACUUUCUUGUCUUCCUUUUUGACAGUAUUUUGUUUCAGCAGGCAGUUAAUUUACUUUCAGAUCAGCUUGAUCCUUUCAAGUCUUGUUUUAAAGUUUCGUUAAGAUGGUUCUAAAGCAGAAGGAGUUAAAAAUUUUUCUUUAAAGAGCCAGGUAGUAAUUAUUUCGGGCUUCCCUGCUGGCUAAGUGGUAAAGAACUGCCUGCCAGUGCAGGAGACACAGGAAGCACAGGUUCAAUACCUGGGAUGGGACAAUCCCCUGGGGAAGGAAAUGGCAACCCAACCAGUAUUCUUGUCUGGGAAAUCACGUGGACGAGGAGCCUGGUGGACUACAGUUCAUGGAGUCACAAAAGAGUCUCUAUUAUAUGCUGUCAGUCAGGGACUAGUCAGUGUCUGAGAUUUACCCUACUUGCAAGCCUACAAAAGUAGCCUGGAUUCUAGCAGAAGACAUAAGACCUCUUGGUCAGAGACAAAGGACUUUAUUAUAGCACAGCAGGCAUCCCAAGUUUCAUAUUCUCAUUUGUUUCCCUUGGUCCCUGAACAUCAUGCUGGCAUUGCAGACUGGAUCCAAGUUGAAUGUCACACACUGUGGAUCUGGAUCACAGCUGAGGAAUCCUGAGCUUAGGAACCUCUCAACUUAUAGCUGCUAGCAAAUCUGUCCAAACUUUGCCCUGGAAGGAGCCAUUCUCUCUAUUUUCCUGGUCAGGAAACAAAGCAACACUUUGUCCUGGAGGGUGACACUGCUGCUGCUAAGUCACUUCAGUCAUGUCUGACUCUGUGCAAUCCCAUAGACAUAGACAGCAGCCCACCAGGCUCCCCCGUCCCUGGGAUUCUCCAGGCAAGAACACUGGAGUGGGUUGCCAUUUCCUUCCCCAGUGCAUGAAAGUGAAAAUGAAGUUGCUCAGUCGUGUCCAACUCUUCAUGACCCCACGGACUGCAGCCUGUCAGGCUCCUCUGCCCAUGGGGUUUUCCAGGCAAGAGUACUGGAGUGGGUUGCCAUUGCCUUCUCCGAUCAAAAGGCUACUGGAUAUACAAAUUUCCUUGGAAAGGUAGUCUGGGACAAAAUUGUUACAAGACAUGCAAAAAUGCCAUGGAAAAUUGUCUUUUACCGAAAACUCUCAUGUUCAAGAGGUCUCCUACUGGUCGGAAUUUAAAUGCUUACCAUCUCCAUGAAAGCAUUGCUUGAGUCUCACAUCCCCAGGAGUUUUUCCUCUGAGAGUUGUUCUUCUCCCAGUUGUUUUGCCUGGCCUUAUGAACUGAUGGGGUCCUGUCUUAUACAUGUGCUUCUUAAUAUUCAAACAAACACUUGAGAUGACCCUUGUGCAGAUUUCUGGAACUCUGUCUCUGCACACCUCUCUCCUCCCUGGUACUCUGCUUCUCAAACUGCAUUUACUUCCAGAGUUCCAGUCUCUUUAAUUCAGCAAAACCGCUGUGCUCUGCUUGAAUUCUCUUUCUUCAUAAUGUCAAUUCACAAAGAACCUCCAGGCAGAAAGCUGGGGCAUUUGAGAACUCUAUUCGUUUGUUUUCUCUUCCCAAGGAACAGAGUCCUAUGCAGCCUGUUCAACUUCUGACAAUUGUUUUAUAUAUAUAUAUAUGUUUUUAUUUUUAUAAUUUUUUUAAAACAGGAGAUCUAGUCUGGUACUAGUUACUCCAUCAUUGCACAACUAUCUUUUUUUAGCAUUAACUUCUUUAUGUGUUUUGGGAUUUUGAUGUGCACAGUCACUGCGUGGGAGAUAUUUCCGUUAUUCUUUCUUACUCCCAUCUCCAAUUUAAUGAGUAUUUUCAUCUGCCUUUAUCUCCAUCCCAUGCUCCAGUCCAGAAACAAGAUCUUAAGAUGGCUGUAGAGGGUUCCUGCUCCUUAUCAAUGUUAGGAAUAUGUCUAAUCUAGUAACUGAGCCAGCUGGUAUCUCAGUUCAUUUGCUGUAAUGAUUUUUUUUUUUUUUUGUCCUUUUGCUUUCUUGGGUCCACUACUUCUGAUAAAUCCACAGCUCCAGGCAAUAUACUGGCAGCAGUUGUAUCCAGCUCCCUUUCAUGGGGCUGGGAAAAGUUAGGUGACUAAUCAUCACUGGUUACCCAGAACAAAGAGAUUUCCUGAAACUCAGGAUUUUCACUGGUAAGGCAGAGAAUGUCCUGGAGAAACCAGGAUGGCUGGUGUGUUCCAGUUCCUGGCUUUCAGAACAAUGCUAGCUUUGGUCUCUGUCUUGACCAAAGUGUUUUAGCCUUGGUGUUCCACCAGAGCCGAAUUUCCCGUUGCCACCAGCUGUUUCAAGGCCCGGGCCUUGAUGGGCUGCAGCUUUAGCUCAGCUCACUGCUUUGCAUUUCUGUUGUGUUUCUAGUGCGCAAAGAUGUUUAUCUCAUUUUUUUGAGACCAGCAAUGACCUUUGGCUUUCUUUUUCUAUUUUAUCUGCAUUACCAUGUGUUUAAAGCAUACAGGAUGAACUGAAGCAUGAAUUCAAUAUGCCACCUGACUGGAAAUUCUACUGAUUCUUUUUCAAUUUGGUACUGACUUAAUUUAAGAAAUAAUGUAAUGGAAUAGCCUGUUGUAUUUAGAAGCCAUUCCAGUCAUUUUGAGGGACCUCAAAUCACAGAAAUCCAGGUGAAUAGUCACUGUCCAUAUAGUGGCUGUAUUCUUUGAGGGCAUUGUAACUCAGUACUUAAGUUAGCAUAGAACAAAGGAGAAACAGCAUUCUAACUUUGCUCCAUUCUACUACUUCUGGUUAAUGACAAUGGCAUGAAUAAUGCUUUAUUCUCAUCUCCAUUUCCACUUUGAAUUCUUCUCCAUGAAUUUCUUAUUCAUCCCUUCCUGAAGACACAGAAGAAAGAAAGUCAAAGGGAGGUUGAGGCAGUGGUUUCCAACCUCUUUCUUAUGCAGCAACCUUCAAACUGGUUUUGGAGAACAUAUGCAUUUUCAGACCCUUGGACAUAACUUUGGUGACCUAACAUGGUUACUAGUAGUAACAUGGUUACUACCCUUGAAAUUGGGCAAAAGGAGCAGAAUAAGCUUUUUUGCCUCCCUGUUUGCCUCAGACUAUGCUCUGUCUGUAUUCUUUUUGAUGAGAAGAUUUUUUUAAAAAACAGUUUUCAGCCUUUUGCUCUUCAUUCUAUUGACAAUGACAGUACCAUUAAUUGUCUUGCAGAUUUGCACUGUGAUUUACAGGAAGCAUUUAAACUAUUUCUACUGGAUUAAUGAGUUUUUGAACAUAGAGGUUUUCACAUUUCAAACCCAGGUAUCUAAAUAUCAUGCAAACAAGCUUCUGUCAUAGUACAAUACUAGUGAAGUAGCAAAAACUGUUUCUAGAGCAAAGUAGUUCACACAACCAUCUUAACUCCACUUAGAAAAAUAGUCCCAUUCCCAGCUUUGGCUUCUGUUUUUAAUUGAAGUGGUAGAAAUGUGUACGUGGCCGUUCACAUUGAAACAUUUAAAAAUUGGUAUCUUUACGAGCUAGUCUAUUUUUAACAAAAAUAAAUAUGAGUUAACUGCUCACAUGAUGGAAUUAAAUAUUUUCUGGGAAGUAAUUCAGUGAAGAACAGGGAAGCCUGGCAUGCUGCAGUCCAAGGGGUUGCAAAGAGUUGGACACGACUGAGCGGCUGAACAACAACAAUUUAGUAAAAACCAAAUGAUUCAAGAAGUGAUCACCUUAUUGUUUUAUUGAGUUUUUUUGUCGUUAAAGAAACUAGUUGGACCACGCCUUUUUGGGUAUCUUAAAAUAACUCCACAGGUAGCUGGUCUGAGACUCUGAUGGGGGUGGAGGAGAAUAGAAAAGUUAGAAAAUGAAACAGAGAACUAUCAUUUAGUAAUUGAGAACACACACUUAUUUAACUAGGACUAAAUAUUGCCAGAGCAAGUCCUGUGCUAAAAUUAGACAUUGGGGUUGGUCCAAUAGCAGCACAAGUUAUAAUCCUUUAGAAAUCAUAGCCUGUUGGUUCAAAUCAGGACACUGCAAUGUGAGAAUAUAAAGCACAUAUGUCUUCAUUACAGGACAGUAGAGUUACCAAAGCUAGAACUACUACCUAAAGGUUGGAUUUUAAUUUUUUCUUUUUUGCUUUUCUUUCAUAUAUGAGAAGACCUCUUGAAAAUAUGUAAUUUCCUAGUUCUCUUGCCCCAUGCAUCAAAUGUGUGCAUACACACACACACUCGUGUUUAGGUAGGUCUUGGGAACAGUAUACUAGAACCUAAGAAGAUUUAUGGGAAAGGUAAUGUGAUAUAGUGGAAAGAGAAUAUAUCUUGGAAUUAGACAUACCUUCCUGUGAAUCCUAGCUCCAUCAUACUCUUUGAAACCUUGGAGAAAACAAUUUGUAUGGACCUCAGAUUUUUUUAUUUGGUUUUUUUAAAAUCAGAAAAUGUCAGGUGCUGAGAAAAUGUUUUCCUCUCUCCCAUCUGUACCACCAUCAGAGGACAUUUAGACAGAUAGCUAGAUAGACAGAAUUGUGUUAACUUCAUAUUUUUUGUGUACCAGGCACUAUAGUACAUACUACCUCAUUUAGUCUUGACACACCCAUGAAGUAGUGAAGCUUUAACAGCCCUUAUAUAUGUCUUUAGGCUUUGCUUGCCUUAAGGAUCAUGCUAGAAAGUGACAGAACUGAGACGAGAGUGCUCCUAACCACUGUGAUUUCAGCCUCACAAAAAGUCAAAACUUAAAGAUAUCCUAUCAGUGAAAUGUAGUGAGAAAUGUAACAACAAACCAUUAGUUUCUCAGCAGAUUUACCUUUUUUAUCCAAAUUUAAUUUUGAUACAUGUAUUAGUUUGUUAGGGCUGCCAUACAAAAUACCACUGACUGUGUAGCUUAAACAACAGAAGGUUAUUUUCCCACUAUUCUGGAGGCUCCAAGUCCAAGAUGAAGGUGUUAGCAAGUUUGAUUUCUUUUCAUGCCUCUCUCCCUGGGUUGCAGGUGGCUGGCUGCCUUCUCUGUAUCCUCGCAUGAUCAUCCCUCUAUUUUUCUGUGUCCUAACCUACUCUUCUAGUCAUUUUGGAUUAAUGACUCCAUUUUGACUUAAUUACCCCCUUUAAAGGCCCUGUCUCUAAUAGAUAUAGUCACAUUCAAGGUCUUUGGGGUUAGAGCUUCAGCAUAUGAAUUUGAAGGAACACAAUUCAGCUCCUAACAAGGCAUAUAUCGCAAAAGACAUGUGAUACCAAAUGAAAAAGAAAAUAAACCUGCUCCCCUGAAUGUUUACUAUGUGUCAAACAUUGUUCAAAUAUGUGUUUACACAUAUUUAUUUAAUCCAUACAAGCCAAGUACUAUUCUUAGCCCCAUUUGGUACUGAGAGGUUAGGUAGUUUAUUAAGUCCCAUGCGUGUGUUUGUGCUAAGUUGCUUCAGUUGUGAAGCAACUCUUUGAGACCCUGUGGAGUCUCAAAGCCCACCAGGCUCCUCUGUCCGUGGGAUUCUCCAGGCAAGAAUACUGGAGUGGGUAUCCAUUCCCUUCUCCAGGGGAUCUUCCUGACCCAGGGAUCGAACCUGUGUCUCCCUGUGGCUCCUGCAUUGCAGGUGGAUUCUUUACUGCUGAGCCAUCUGGGAAGCCCAUCAAGUCACAUAACUAGUAAGUAAUAGGAGAACAUUUGAAUCCACAGAGCCUGACACCAGAGUCUGUACUCACACGGCCCCCUCUCAACUAGAAGCAUCCUGUUUGGGCCAAAGAAACAGAAAACACAGGAGUAUCUAUUUGAGGUAAAAUGAUGAUUAAACUUCAAAAGUCUGUAUAUGUUUAAUUAAUAAUUACUAGGCUGUCCUACAUGAAAUAUAGUGAAGCAGCUUUCAUUUAUUCCGUGGUUAUGGCUGAAGUGUACAUUGAAAGGACUGAUGCUGAGGCUGAAACUCCAAUACUUUGGCCACCUCAUGCGAAGAGUUGACUUGUUGGAAAAGACCCUGAUGCUGGGAGGGACUGGGGGCAAGAGGAGAAGGGGACGACAGAGGAUGAGAUGGCUGGAUGGCAUCACUGACUCGAUGCACGUGAGUUUGGGUGAAUUCCAGGAGUUGGUGAUGGACAGGGAGGCCUGGCAUGAUGCGAUUCAUGGGGUUGGAAAGAGUUGGACACGACUGAGUGACUGAACUGAACUAUAGCUGAAGUAAUAAAUCAGUCACUUAGAAAAUGGCAAAGAAAAAUUCUAAGUUAAUUUCUUGCAUCCUACUCUAUGUAAUGAAGGAUUAAUACAAAGUAUUAUAUUUCUGUUCUAAAUCUUCAAAGGCAAAUAGUACCCAUAAUGAAGCAUCAAUAUUUGAAGACCUAGGACACAUAUGCUUCACUUUUGAUUUUUCUCCCAUGUGGGCAUCAUUCCUGCUUCAGUACAUUAAUUGAAGCAAGAAGAGAAGCUGAGUUCCAUGUCUGGAAAUGUUGGUCUUAGGGAUAGCAAUAUGUUCCUUGCAGCCACUGAAGUCUGUAAGUCUACAGAAGCAAGAACUUGCAGCCAAACGUGACUAGAAAAAGAAAUUGUAAACUACCCCACCCCCUCCCAGAAUCCCCCAGACAGUUAGGAAGGAAUGUAGGGCUCCCACUGCACCAAGGAACAGGAUUUGAGCCGAUUUUGUUGAGUCUCAAAGGACAGUGUUCUUCAGCUUCCAUCUGGUUUAAAUCCAAAGUGAACAAAAGAAUAGACUCAGAGUUAGGAGUCAGAUCACAGCUGUGGUGCUCUCUUUGCCAGUCAUUUUAGUUUGUCAACAGAGCCUUGGCCUUCAAGAUGCUUACAGUUCGGUGAUGAGGAUGGGGGUGUUUACAGAGCACCACAGUCAAGUUCCAAGUUGAACAUAAUCCAUAUGAAAACGAAGACUGGAGAUACUUGUCACAGCAGCUCAGGAUUUUAGAGGCCACUGCUGACUGGAGUUAUCAAGGCAAACUCAAUGGAGAAAAGCUGAAUGUUGAGAUGGACCUCAAAAGUAGGAUUUGCUGGGUAGGGGGAGGUGAAGUUGUGUUAGAGGAUUCAGUAGCAGCUGGGGCACAAAGGCAGGAGUGAGGGAGACAGGCAGGACAACAAAGAAACUUCGUCCCUGGAACAGACAGAUUUGGGGGAGUUAUGGGAAAUAUUUUAGGAUUAAACAGACUGGGGUCAGAUGAUGAAUAUGACUCAUGCUAGAGGUCAACAUUGUUAUUCUGUUAGUUGAAUUGCCAACUGAAAUUAUCUCAGUUCUCUGAACAUGUUGGUUAGAACACGUCUCAACAGAACAAAGUGCUUUGCCCCUACUAUAUAAAAAACAUAAUGAAUGAGAACCUACUGUAGAGCACAAGGAACUCUACUCAGUACCCUGUAAUGACCUAUAUGAGAAAAGAAUCUUAAAAAGAGUGGAUAUGUGUGUGUGUCUAACUGAUUCACUUUGCUGUACCACAGAAACUAACAGCAUUGUAAAAAUCAACUAUACUCCAAUAAAAAUAAUAAUGAAAAAAGAACUCAGAGCUUUGCAUUUAGUGGCAUGCUUGUUAUCCUUAAGGCUGCUUAGACUACAACAUGCUCUGUGGACCACUGUCCCUCCAGAUUUGUGUCAUGCCUAAUUGAGCUGGGAGAUGGUGCACCUCUUGGCUCUAGGCCUACACAGACUCAGCCUGGCAGGAGGCCUCAGAGCAGCUUACGUGGUUCCAAGUGCCCAGCCGGAGUCAGGAGGAGGGUGCUGCUGCCCCAGGAAGGCACAUAGCCUCAGAAAUGGCUUCUCCUUUUUUCAGUCAAUGAGAUACGCAUUCUCUGUCUGCGUUUGAUGAACCUUCAGAGGGGAGAGCUCUAGGGAAUUCUACACUCUCCACUUCCCUUCCCUUCCUAUCUCCAAGGCUGUCUUGAAGUAGAAAUUUUAGUCUCACAGACCUUUGACUUCUGACUCGCCUGUAUGAUGUUAGACAAACGACUAAGUUUUUUGAGCUCAUUAUAUUUUUUAAAUCUGUAAAAUAGCCCAGCAACUAUGAGGUUACUCUUCAUUCUCUUCCUCUUUUGUGACUUCUCUCAGUUGCUGAUGUUUUGGAAGAACAUCUUUUUCUGAUCAUAAAUGUGCUCAGCUAUCAAGGAGGUAAAAACUACCAUUCAGGACACUUAGGGAUCCUGAAGGAAACAUGGGGGUGGGUGGAGUUGGCCUGCCCUUUGCCGCCUCCCAACCCUGUGUUUAUUUCCUCAGGAUAGGAUUUCAAGUCAACUGGAGCCACUCCUCAGGAUAGCAUAGAGCUCAACAGGAUCCAGAGUGCUUGGAAAUCAUCUCAGAGUAGAGGGAUCAACUAUCCUUAUUUGUAUUGGGUUUAAAAGAAGAAACAAUGGCCUAAAGCCAUCAUGUGGCCUAAAGCAUAUAAAAAUUAAGGUUACAUGUGACAAAGCACUUUAUGAGUUCUGAAACAGUUAGGCAAGGCCAUAAACUAUCAUAUUACUAAAUUGCUAUCAUUUCUAACGUUCAAGGCUCCCAACUACAAGUUUGUCCUUAGAAAUUGCAAUGUGUUCUUGAUAAUUUGAGUGUACCCAAUUGUGCUUCCAGCUAAGAAGCACGUACGGUUUGCUGGUUAGUAUUUUGCCUAUAUUUGAAUCCUAAAAAUAACCUCCUCAUGAGAACAGGAUGAGCUUUGUGAAGAUUAUAUUCCAGUUGGUUAGAAAUGGAAGGCACAUUUUUCCCAUUGCCUCCUGCCUUUCAUUUCUAAACACAUUUGUCUCUGAAGCAGAGGAGACUAUGAGAGCAGCUGCAGUGAGCAGCUGUAGAAUCUUCUGUCAUCUGCUCUCUGGCUUUCCAGACUUUGUCCCAUCCUCUGCUCCCAGUUGUCCUUUUCUUUCUUUUUAAAGUCACCUGCCCUCCUCAGGUCCAGGCCCUGUCCCUGCAGUGCUUUUAGGGGAUUUUUGCCUGGUGUCCCCCUCGCUUUUACCAUUCUUUAUAGUUUAAAAAAAAAAUCACUAGUGAAAACAUUUUUAUCUUAUGAAAAACCACUGGAAGCGGAAGCGCGGAAAAGUCUGUCAGCCAAUACAGAGCUGCUUGCUGCCUCCCCCACUAGUUCUGCCUGUCAUGUUUGGCGGUGAUCUUUUCCGUGGGCUGCCAUUUCAGGACAACAUGAAGCUCUAAUUUUACAUUUGCAUGCAGAGGCCAGAUGCUGAUGACUCUGUGAGGGGAAGCCCUCCCCAGGAUUACCUUGAGAGAGAUGAUUUAUUCAUCCUGUGCACAUCCUCAGCUUUCCCAGAGGCCCUUCCCCGCCGACUCCACACACAGCGCCGGGGGACUGUCGGAGCCCCUCCCAGCAGCCCUCUUGGCGCACAACAAGCCGUGACAACCAGUAGCGAUUGAACACUUUUUUUUUUCCUUCCUAAUGUGUCGUUAGUUGAGCAUAAGCUUCUCUCUAAGGUCGCUUAUGCGAGCUAGUGCAGGGCAAGUGUCUUCGCAUAAUAUGUCAAUGGAAUUUAUGUUCAUGGCUUUUAGGGAUGAUCUGACUCUUCUCAACUGGUCCUUUGAAUGUUGUUUGAUUUUGAACGCUUAGAAAAUGGGCUUGCACUCCUUUUCUCCUUUUGAAAAAGCUUUUCUGUGGUUUUGAAACAUACCUAUUUUAGAUCCCACAUAAUAUAUCAUCCGAAUACUAAUUUAAAACAAAAUAUUACUUAAUAUCUUUGAUUUAUAACACGUUACAUGCACCAAGCAUAGAAAGCAGGUAAACAUGAGUUAUAUUUUUAGUUUACUAUGUUGGCAACAGAGAAGCCUGCCUGAAAAAAACAAUAUAAAUCACCUUUUACCACUGCUUUCUGAAUACUUGGGGGUUAAUGAAAUCAAAAUUUUAUCUGUCGGAACUGCCAGUAAUACCUUCAGUUUUCACCAGCUGCACUUCCCUUCUCUCCCUCCGUAUCUUUAGACUCAGGGAAGAGCAACACAGGUUCCACAAUAAACAAAAGUGAAAGAAAAGAAAGAAUUUGUAAAGUUUCUUUUGGUAUGUAAGAGGAUGGGUCCUAGCGUGAACAGCAUGUGAGCACAUGGACAAAACACACCUAAAAUAAGGCAGUGCACACACAGCGGGCCACAUAUGUGGGUAUGUGUGCACCCAUGCAUGUGCCAAACCACCCAUUUUCUCACAUAAGCAUAGCAGUUUCACUGCUGCUGCUGCUGCUGCUGCGUCACUUCAGUCGAGUCCGACUCUGUGAGACCCCAUAGAUGGCAGCCCACCAGGCUCCCCUGUCCCUGGGAUUCUCCAGGCAAGAACAUGGAGUGGGUUGCCAUUUCCUUCUCCCAGUGCAUGAAAGUGAAAACUGAAAGUGAAGUCGCUCAGCCGUGUCCAACCCUCAGCGACCCCAUGGACUGCAGCCUACCAGGCUCCUCCGUCUAUGGGAUUUGCCAGGCAAGAGUACUGGAGUAAGGUGCCAUUGCCUUCUCUGCAUUUCACUACCUCUAGGUAAAUAUAUUAAUUCUUUAUGUGAAAAAGAAAACCCAAUGCUAAACUGCCUUUAUAAGUAUCACAAAAAACACUAAGUGUUUCUUUGUUUAGAAAUGUAAAAAUAAUGUGCUUGGAAAUGCCAGCUAACUAGUGAAGUAAAAGUCGCUCAGUCAUGUCCAACUCUUUGUGACCCCAUGGACUGUAGCCUGCCAGGCUCCUCUGUCCGUGGAAUUCUCUAGGCCAGACUGCUGGAGUGGGUAGCCAUUUCCUCCUCCAGGGGAGUCUUCCCAACCCAGGGAUCAAACCAGGUCUCCUGGAUUCUUUACUGUCUGAGCCACCAGGGAAGAGCUGAGAGUAAAUACUUUGUGAAGAAUAGAGAAGACACUAGAACAGUUAAACCUCAGUUGGCCUGGGCCAAGUGUGAAAAUGCAGAAUCACAGAAGGAGCCAGCAGGAUUUGAUUAAACUUCUAUAAAUCAAAUCUUAGAGGCAUGAAUCCCCUUGGUAACAUCCUGGGUCAGUGGUCAUCUGCCCUGGUUUUAAAUACUUCUGCUGUAAAGAUACUCAUUACUUCCAGUGCAACCAGCCUCCAGUUCUUUUUUUUUUUUUCCUUAUUAUUUACACAAAACACUUUUUUAAAAAAGUGAAAGGUCUAGGGAGUAUACUUAGAAAGCAACAGUGAAAAGAGUGGGCAGGGGUGAGGUUCUUAUUUAGGAACAAUAAAGUUAUCUGUACCUAUAUACAUUCAUUUGGUUUCUCCUUCUUCCCCUUCAACCCACAAAAAACACAUCUAAUCCCUCCUUCAAUCCUUCAAAUAUUUGAAAACAACCAUCAUGACUCAUAAUUAUCCUGUGACUGACCUGGAUGGUCUCCUAAACCCGUCAGCCAGGAUCUUUGUCCAUCCACACCGCUCAGAAGCUGAAAGAUCUGUAUCCCCAAAGUAGAUUGGUGGCGGUGACUUCUCAGAUGAUGUGAUUGAUGUGAUUAUUCUGUGUUGAUGAGUUACUGCUGAAGACCCUCAAGCCAGAGAGGGAAUAUCCUAAACUGAGAGAAUCCAGGAAAGAGGCUGAGUCUUAAUUAAGGUGAUGGCAGCAAGGCCCUGUAAAAUUUCACCUGUGCCAGAAAAAUCCCGAAAAAAUCCAAAGCUAUUGCUUCACAUCACUGACAUUCAACCAAGCCUGCAACUUUGGAGUUAGGACCUUGAGCUCUAUUUGUACCACCAGCUCUGCCACCAGCUGGUUGCGUUCCCUGGAGAAUUACUGCCCACCUUUCCAGAGUUGUCUCUGUGAUAUUCAGAGGCACAUGUUGCAUUUCUGCCUUGAGCUCUAUUUGUACCACCAGCUCUGCCACCAGCUGGUUGCGUUCCCUGGAGAAUUACUGCCCACCUUUCCAGAGUUGUCUCUGUGAUAUUCAGAGGCACAUGUUGCAUUUCUGCCUAGAAAUGUGCCCCCCACCCCCGGCCCCGACUCCUGGCCUAGAUGUCAUUUCCCCAGGGACACUUCCCUGACUCCCAUCCCUACCCCAACCUGAGAUGGCCUCUGUCUUCCACUGUACCCUGUGCUCUGUUGCAACCUCACUUCCUUGUGUUUUAACACUGCAUUCACUUGUCUGCGCCCACUGUCCUGGAAGUUCUUUAAAGCUAAGGACUCAGGCCUGGUCUCCAGCACUUAGCUCAGUGCCUGGUGCCUACCAGAAUCUAGAAAAUAUGUUGAAAAAAGAAGAAGAAAGGAAAGAGAAGACUAAAAGGGAGAAGACAAAAUGAGGAAGUUGGGGUAUAUUAUCUAUCUAGAUUCUGACAGCUAAAACUCUGCAAUUCCUUGGGGGUUAUUUUUGCUUGUUUUAAAAUACUUAUUUGGCGGUGGCAUGCGGGCUUUUAGUUGUGGCCUGUGGGAUCCAGCUCCCUGGCUAGGGAUUGAACCUGGGUCCCCUGCACCAGGAAUGUGGAGUCUCAACCACCUGACCACCAGAGAAGUCCCUACAAUUCCUUGUUCUUAAGUUCCAUCUUUAGAGUCAACCUCAGGCUUUUAGAAAUUCAGAUUUUCUCUAGUAGUAGGGUAAGUUUCAAGUGAUUACACCAAAUUAGAAAAGCUAUGAAUAUUUAUACAUGUAAUACAAUUUUAGGACUGAGAUUUAAAGUUCAUUUAACAUGCCCAAACUUUGUAUUGUGAGGAAACUGAGGCACAGUGAGAUUAGGUUAUUUGUCCAUACCCACCUGGUUAGAGGAAAACCUGGUUUCAGACACUGAUCUUGGUCCCUGCUCGGUUGCAUCCCCCAGCCCUUCCAGUCUUCUAGUUGCCCAGCCUCCAAGACUGAAGAAAGGGCCCAGAGACAGCAAUAGGGACAUAAGUGGUUUAUUGGAUAGGCAGAACUUACACAAAGGAGCCUGGAGUGACACCCCCCCAUGUGUGCAGAUGGUGGGUAGGACAUCAGCAGUCUUCACUACUCAGCAGGAGAGAAGAAGGCUACCAUUUAUAGGGGGAAUUGACAUCAAGUGGGCUCACCAGUUACCAGAGACUAUUUUAAGUGCUAUAAUUAAGUGUAUUUUACAGUCAAGUGAGAGAAACAGGCACUGGUCAAGCCAGGGAUGUACAGAGAGCAAGAGAACAGCCAUCUUGAAUGGCCUAACCAUACAGCCCCCAAACCUGGAUGGCUGAUCUCUAGUCUUCCUUUUUGAAAGAGCUGCUACAAACACAGCUACAAAUGCAAGUGACAGAUGUUUCCUCCUUUAUGUUAUGGUUAUAUCAAUGUACAAGUUUAUGGCUGUAAAUUAAACUUUGAGAAAUACCCUUCCCUGCUUCUAGACAAACUAAUGAAAAUUAUGUCUCUUUUCUCCCAGGAAUGUGGGAGAAUGUUACCAUGCUUCACCAGGUGACUCCUGUACGUUGUUUGCUAAACAGAGUUGCAGUCAUAUGAAUUGCUUCCAGCCAGGUUCAGUACCGAAGCUCAAUGUUCUGUUGUCAAGCCAUAGGGUAGUAAUGCCAUGAGACCCGCUUCUUGGCGAGUAGCCCUGAGGUGCAGCUGUAAGGUGACCCAGUGCAGGCUUGAGGCCAGAGCUCAGUGCCAGAAACUUGAGCCAAACACUGGAACUAAUUCCCAAGGCACUGAAUUGGUUGCAAUUAAAAUUUUAGAUGAAAAGAUUUUUUGUUUACUCUAAAAGAACCACUUCAUUUUAUAAGCUCAUAGGAAAGUUAGAUGCUUUGCCAUUAUACAUGAAAUAUUUUCCAGAGGCCAAAUCUUUGAAAAAGAAGAAGAGGAAGAAAGAGGAGAAAAAGAAAACUUUAGAUUAUUUAAGAAGUCAUGAACAUAUUUCUUGAAUGCAACAUCUUUGAUUAGAUAUGCUAACUGAAGAAACUUUCUUUUUCUGACUUGGGGUAUGCUGUGAAAGUUGUAAGGUAGAGUUGGAGCAGAAGUGGUCAAGAUGAUGGUAAUGAUUGAACCAAACUCUGGACCCAUACAGAUCUGAUUUAAGCACACAGCCCCAGCACUUCCUAGCAGCUGACCUUGGGUAAUAUACUUAAGCCUGGAGACUGUGUUAUGUACUGGGGUUAGUAACUCUUCCUCUCAUGGGUAGUAUGGACGGGGCUCAGAUGCUGCUCUUCCUCUCAUGUCAGCCUAUCCCUAGGGUGCAGGUCCUCACCUCACUGAUGAGACAAGGAGAAGCUGCUGAGAUCCCAGUAGUUUAAAGCCACCAGCUUUAAGCUGUGGCAGGAAUCCAUCAUGAACCCUCACUAAUUCAGCAGUUGUUGACUCAAGACAUACAAAUUGGUUUAAUUCUUAGGAAACUGCUUAUCAGGGCAAAGAGGAGAAAGGAAAGUGGUUGUCAUGUUCCUGAUAAGUACUCCGAUGUUCCUAACAAGUACAGCGAUGUCUCGCCGUCCCACUUAUUAGUCAGGUGGCCUUGAACAGUCGCUUAUCCUCUUGGAGCCUUGGUCUCACCCCAGCUCCCCAUCUAGAGGUUGGGGAUGAUAACACAGAUCACACAGUGCGGUUGUGAGGUGAUGCAGUGUGUAUAAGCCGAGCUGGGAACACAGAAGAUGUUCAGGAACCUUUACCUUUUAUCUGACCUCCUGCAACAUGUCCAUGUUUAGGAAUGCCCUUUCAGUAACCCCUGGGGGCCAAAGAGCGAGAUCAUUCCACAGUGAUGACUCACGGUAUUCUAUAUACUCUGCCCUUGCUUAUAUUCAGGUUUUGGAAAACACGUGCCAUAUUUACUUAAGAAGCUUCCCCACCUCUUUGUAGCUAUUAAAAGACCAGGGUGGAAAGGGAAAAUCAGAAGUUGACCCUAAUUUAUCUGUGGCUGAAGGAGGAACUAGGGAAGUCCAACAAGUAUCAUUAUUUCUUCCUCCAGGUGAGCUGAUGAAGGCUUAGAAGAAAAAGGCUGUGUCAUGGCCUGGGUGGCCAAACCUUGUCCUUUCACUUUCAUUAAACAGUUAUCUGGUGUUUAAAGAGCGGUUUAAAGAUGGUUGACAGUCAUCAUGGCAACCAAGAAAAAUGUAUGUGACCCCAAAAAAACAUUUCAUUAAACUUGGAAAUGAAGUAUAUGUGUAGGAUUUAAUUAUUAUUUGUUAGAAAUUAAGGAAAAUCAUCCAUUCGUUCAGCCUUUGAAUAUUUAUUGACAGCUACAAUUGUGACAAACACCAUUCUAGGUACUGAGGAUACAUUGAUGGCUAAAAUAAAAAUUCCUGCCUUCCUUCAGUUUCUAUUUUGGUGGGAGACGUAGAGAGCAAAUGAGAUAAAUUAGUAAGAUAUAUAGUAUACUAGGAAGUAGUUAGUGCUAAGGGGAAAAAUAAGGCAGAAAGGGGAACUAUAAAAUAUCAAGAGGAAUGUUAGACUGUGUCCAGGGAAAGUCUCAUUGAUCAGGUGCUUAAAGUGAAGACCUGAUGGAACAGACAAGCCAAGCUGAGGAUGGCUGCGGAACAGCUCUCACGACAAGGGUCCUGAGAUGGGAGGGUGCCUGGUGAAAUGCCUGGAGGCCAGAGUGCAAGCUGAGCAGGGAGGGAAAGAGAUCAGGUCAGAGAACCAGCCCAGUUGUAUGGGGCCUAUAGACAUAGUAAGGACUUCAGCUUUCACUGGGAGUAAGAGGGAAAGCUCCAGAGAGUUUGGGCAGAGGAAAGAUAUUAUACAACCAUUCUUACUGAGUGCUUGCUUUGUUAGAUUCUAUUUUUUUUUUAAUAUUUAUUUUUAUUUAUUUGACUGUGGCAGGUCUUAGAUGCAGCAUACAUGGAUCUCUGAUCUUCAUUUUUCAGCAUGCAAGCUGUUAGUUGUGGCAUGUGGGAUCUAGAACCCUGACCAGAGAGCCAACCCAGGCCCCUACAUUGGGAGCAUGGAGUCUUAGCCCCUGGACCAUGAGGGAAGUCCCUGUUAGAUUCCGUUUUAAAUGCUUUAUUUGUAAUCCUCACAAUUAUCUUAUGAAGUAGGACCCACUAUCUUCUCAUUUCACAGCUAAGGAAACAGGGCCAGAGAGGUUAACUAACUUGCAUAAGCUCACACAGCUAGCAGGGAUGUGGUGAAAACUUAGACCCUGGCCAACUCAUAACCACCUCAUUUUCUCCCCCAAAUGCCUAAGAGAUUGAGACUGAGGUGUUUUUUGUUUUUUUUCUUCCUUCUUUAUAUCUGUAUUUCCAGAGCACACUAACAAUGAAAUCACUUCAUACUCAUUCUUAGAGAACUUCUCUGUUCAAACUGAUAAAUAUUGCCAAUAUUCUCCUUUAUGAUUCCAAGUUAAAAAAAAAGUCUUCAAAUUAGCAUACUAACAAGCAUCUUGACAUGUCUUGCUUUAAUUAUGCAGACAACGACUCCUUUUUUUGCUUCUAAUGUAGAGGUUGAUUGGGAAAAUUUUUAUUUUAUUGCUUACGAUCUUACCCUAGUGCUACCUAAAUCACUGCUUUAUGAUUUGGCAUCUAUAAUUUAUCAUCUUCCUCUGCUAUUAGAUGAAAUGCCCUUUAAAGCAUUCCAUAGCAAGGUGAACACAAGUCAAGCUUGCAAAGUUCUGGAAAAAAGAAUUGCAAAGAAUCAUUAAAGAAUAAUGAAAGUUGAUUUAAACAGCAUACAAUAUCAGGGCUGCCCAGUUUAACAAAUAUAAUUAUUCCAAGUCAUUUUCAGAAGGCCUCUACAUUUCAGCAUCUAAUUUUCAUCAUCUUUUAAGGAAUAACAACAGAAAUACCUUACUGUUAUAAAGACUCUAAAAGCUGACUUUUUAUUUCAUUUCUCUGGAUUUCACUAAAGUUAAGCAUGAAACAAUAGACAGUUUAAAAUAUAGGAAACCCAGGUUCCUUUUACUAUUGUGUGGCUUUAACAUUCUACUGCUGUAGCCAAGAGUCCUUGGCUUCUGGGGCCAGCUGCCUUUUGCAUGCUGAUUUUGCAGAGAGAGUCUCUCAGGAGUUAUUACUUUUGAGUAGUAUCUACAAUGACUUCAGUCCCUGCAGGAAGUGGAAGGCAGCAGAGUCUGGGAAUGAAAACACUGAGGGAAAAAUCUUUCCCGAUAGAUUCGUCAACUCAAUCUAAUUUUAGGUUCCAGGCAGACCACAUAGCUGUACCUUCAGCUACCUGCAAACAUAUGUCUCAAGUGCCCUCACUGAAGGACUAUAACCGGGACUUAAAAAUAAUGAAGUUUUCUAUCCUGAUAUGUUUUAGUAAAAUAGGUGAUGUGUGAGAGUGUGUGUGUGGGUGUGGGUGCACACAUGCAGGAAAACCAUGUGCGUGUACGCCACAUUCAAAUAUUGACACAUUCAGAGUAAGGGGGGAUGGUCCAGAAGGGUUUCUUUCUAUUUUUCAUCAACUCUAAUUUUUUCUUUCCAAUGCUUCACAACCAAAAGGACUAGUAGUCCCAGGCUCAAGGCCUCAGAAACCGUAUCAUUGAGUUAUGUGAAACAGGAAUUUGAGACAUUUUUAGAAAUCAUUUUUAUGUGGUAGCUAUUUUAAUAUUGAAACUACUAAAUCAAAGCUAACAAAGGUCUUUUGAGAGGAAAUGGUUAAAAGGGCACGUCUUUCCUUUUCUAAAAGGAAAACCGCAGCAAGGAAUUCCAAUUAGGAAUAAAUUAAAGAGCACUACACUUUUCUGGAAGGGUCAGGAAGUCAAACUCUUGGCCUUGAGCUGCUUCUCACCCCCACCCCAGCUGACCCUGGGAACCAGUCGCUCCCCAUCUCUGUGUGAACUCAACAGUGGCUGCCAAGUCUUGCCAUUCCUCUGCAGAAAAGAGUCAGGGAUUUUCACCAGAGGCCUCCUGCCAGCACCAGAGUCAGAAGGAGGUAGCCAAGGUGCCAGGGGGCUUUCUGGAGUGCCCCAAUGCCAGCUUUCUGUCUACAAAGGACAAUUCACUAAACUCGCUAAAACCAAAUCUGACAUUUUUAAAAAGUCUCUGAAAUAAUCCUCCUAUGCUGUUUUGCUACUAGAAGACUGGGCUCUCAUUUCCCAGAUUAUAUUUUCUUAAAUAUAAUUUCCUUAAAUUCGGCAGUACUUUUAAUCCAUGACACUCACUGGUAGGCAAGAAAAACAAUUUUGCUGUCUUCACAAUUGAUUUAAAGCUUACAGAUGUGACAUCUCCAUAUAUUAUGUUGUGGCUAAUUGCCUUAUACUAAUAUCUGAGUAAUAUAUAUGUGUGUGUGUGUGUGUAUAUGAAUAUUAGUGUCAUGCUCAGUCAUGUCUGACUCUUUGAGACCCUAUUAGACUGUAGCCCACCAGCCUUCUGUUCAUGGGAUUUUUCAGGCAUGAAUACUGGAGUGGGUUGCUAUUUCCUCCUCCAGAUAUAUAUAUAUAUAUAUAAAUGUUCUUUAGGUAACCUGUGUAAUUGACAUAUGGCUACUUGGGAAAUUGGGGCUAAAAGUGAGGUACCCCAAACAGCUGAGUUUGAUCAAGAUGCCAUGCACUCUUGACCUCUUUAAUAUGCUAUGUUGCUCUUUUGACAGCAUUCCAAAUCUACUUGUCCUUCCAAGUCUAACUCAGUUCCUGCUCUCAGCUCAAAUCCUUGCCUGACCAUUUAAAUUCUCAUUGAGACCUCCCCUCUGGCACCACCUAAAGCCCUAUUAUCUUUGCUGCUACUAUGGCAUUUGGAUAUGUCAUCGUACACCAUCAUUUACUCGCCAGCUUCCAAGGCGGUGUGCUCUCUCUUCAGCUCCCUGCACAGUACUUAGCCUGAUGCUCAGCCCAUGGGGAUGCUCUGUGGUACAAGUGAAGUGAACUGACUUACAGCCUUUUUCGUCAUUUCCCUAAUGCUCAUAUCUAGGACUAAAAUUUGCAUGAUUGCUCUUUAUUUCUCCAUUCAUUGUCCCUUAGUAACCCAGAAGCAUCUAGAAUGAGCUGAAAGUUAGACCACUCCUAGAACAGAUUGGUCACCUGUGUCUUUUUGGCUUGGAUGUCACUGUUCCACACAAUGCAUGGAAAUGGAAGACAAGUUACAUCCCUUAUGACUGCAGUCAAUGAAAAUAAAGAGGAAAAUAAAAUAAUGGAGCAGAGAAAGAAAAUAUAGGAAAGUGUGAGGGGAAAAGAGAUAAGGAAGAGGGGAAAAAAAGGAAAAAAAAACAACCCACAAUCUUACUGGAUGAUGUAAAUACAUUUCCUCUUUUAACGACAAAACAUAAAGGCUCCUUGCAAGUGCAUUUCAUGGGUGAUUACUUGAACAUCUUAAUCAUGUUUGCUCUUUGGGGAGAUUGUAUGCAGAAACCACUGCCUUUCCAGUUUGAAUUAAGAAUAAACUGGAAAGGCAGUUCCUCUGGAAGAAAGGAAAAGCAAAGCCCAGGAACACUGGUGCACUGUAUGCGGCAGUAAGAAAUGACAACUCGGAAUCAGGCAGAGUUUUCUCUUCUGUGAUCAGCUUGCUCGGCCCUCAAUGAGUCCAGGAGAUUUCGCAUUUUAUAGGUUGAGCUUCCCACUGGCAGCAACUGAAGCAGUUCAUUAUGCACAUCUGUCACGUGACCCACUUCAUCAACCAAAUGGAACUGGGAGAAUAAGUCACCCUAACAAGAUCCUUCAGUACACUCUUAAAAACUACUUACAGAUGUACUCUUCCUCUGAGGGGAUACAAUGGGUUUCCUUGUACGGUGCCACACGAUACAGGAAAUGCAUUAUCCCCAUCCAAAUUCAGGCGAACCAGGAGGAAGCCUGAAAAGAAAGCAGCUCACAAAAGCACAGACAGCUUUUGCAAAAGUCCUGAGAGGGGCUCACACACCAAUUUAUGAUAACGGCAGAUAAAACCUCAAGCCUGUGAAGCUCAGUUCAUUACAAAUGCUAAUGUCCACACAGGGAAAGGAAACCACGUCAGCACUCAGCAUCGACACAAACGCCGCUAAUGCUUUUUAUUUACGGUUGUCGCUGGGUCCCCUCAGCGGUGUGCCAGAUCUCCGUUUGUGUGGCAACUUUAACUACUUCAUGUGCCUCCACGACUCACUGUGAAAUGUGCCCACAGGCGAUUUGUGCUUUCAGACUGUGUCUGGUGAGGCGAGCAGCCACACUGCUAACCUUGAAUCAGGAACCAUCUUGUUCCCAUUCAGAUCACGUCAAGCGAACACUUCUGUGGACACAUCCAGGAAUAGUUAACACCUGCCAUUGUGAAAUCUUCCUGUUUCAGUCGGGGUGAUCAAUUCAUCAUUCAUUCGGUCAGGCAACAGAUAUUUAUUGAAUACCUACCACAUGCCAGGCACUGUUUCGGGACCCGGAGAUAUAAUAGUGAACAAAGCCCUACCAUCAAAAAGAUUACCUUCUAGAGGGGGAUAGGAAGAGACAGCAAAUAAAUAUGGGAUAUGUCAGAGUGUUUCAGUCAGGAUAGGCUAGUUGUUUUGUGGUUUUAAACAAGCCAAGUUUGAUGGCUUAAAAAAAAAGUUUAUAUCCCUCACUUACACAGUGUGUCCAUCACCGACUCAAUGGACAUGAGUUUGAAUAAACUCUAGGAGAUAGUGAAGGACAGGAAGCCUGGCAUGCUGCAGUCCUGAGGCCACAAAGAGUCAGACACGACUUAGUGACUGAAGAACAACAGGCUGUGUUCACUGCAGGGCAGCCGGGGGCUCAGCUCCGUGCACCUUCACCCUGGGGCCCAGGGUGCCUGGAGAAGCACCAUGUGGAGCACGGCCGAUGUCGGCGGGAGAGAGGGGACAGAGCUUUGAACGCCGCAGUGGCUUCCUCCUGAAAGCCACACACGGCCCUUCCCCUCACACAGCACAGGAGAGAGCAGGGAACGUGGCUGCACCCAACUUCAACAAGUGAAGAAGAGCAACCACAUGAUGGGUUUAGGAAAAUCAGACACACUCCGUGUGUCUGUCCCAAUGAUCAUGACUGCAAGGAGGGGAAAAAAAGCAAAGUAAAGGAGCAGGUAUCUGGAGAGGUGGUCUCUACUUGAUAGAGAUGGUCAGAAAAGGUCUGUCUGAUGUGGUGACAUCUGAAGAAAGAGAGAGAGAGAGAGAGACUGUUCCUGCAGAGGAUAUAGCGAGGGCACACGGUGCCUGGUGUGUUGGAGGAGCAGCAAGGAAGUCUGGAUGUUGAAGUGGAAUGAGCAAGGGACAAGCUGGAGAAAAGUAGGUCAGAGAAGGAAGAGCAAGUUAGUUGUGGGACACAAGCCAGCACCUUGCUGUAAGGGCUGUGGCUAAUGUAGGGUGCUGUAAAGAUGUGAUCUGACUGAGGUUUUGAAAGGAUCCUGUGGCCGCUAUGAAGGUUGAAGCAGGGAGGAGUUGAGAGGCUCUUGCAAUAAACCAAAUAAGGCUAGAGAGGGGCCAGUGCUCAGGUUCUGCAUGCAGUUUGAAGGUAGAACCAACCAAAUUUGCCAGUGUAUUGCUGGAAGAGAAAGAGAGGAUUCGAGGUUGACAAGAAAGGUUUGUUUCUUCUGGUAAUCCCCGGAUACACAUAAGGACUAUUCAUGUGACUUUUGAGAAUCUUUGAAUUAGGCAAAAUCAUGUAACAUACAACAUCUCCCUGCAAAUGAGUUGAGAGCUGAACAGCCAACUGGAGCUAUGGAUGCUGGGCAAUCAGCUUGAUUCAUAGACCAGCUGAGGGACUUCUCUCCCUCACUGGCCCAGUAUCUAGUCUCUUUUAGGGUUUUGAUCCACAUUACUUUGUAAAACCAGAGAUGUAAGCUUCCUAAUUACAAGCAAAAUAGGGGCUUAUGACUGAGUCACCCCAACCUCAUCCCAGCCCUCCAUUCCUCUGUGAACCUCAGAUAUCACUACCAAGAAACUAAGCCAUACAACACAAGGUCUGUCCUCAAUAGAUACUGGUAUAGUGAUGUGUCACCAAUUCUCCGAAAAAUAGGUUGAACAGAAAUCUUAAUAAAUACAAUAAACAACACAUGGUUUCUGAAUAGUGUUUCACCACUUUCUGCUCACCCUGUCUUCCCGUCAUGUGGCUCUCCUCCUCACCACCACCUGUUAAAUGGCCACUAGAGCCCCCUACUACAAUCUCUUAGAUCUUCUCCAGCUUAGAAGAGCACAAGUUGAAUGCCAAGUUUGCUGACUAUAAUGGAAUGAAUAAGUAAAAGUGUUUUUUAAAACAGCGAUUUAUAAUCAGAAGUAUUGGUUCAUUCAAAAAAGAUCUUCUUGAACUCCUACUAUGUGCCACCUCCUCUUCUAAGCACCGGCGGCACAGCUAUGAACAGAACAGGUGAGUAAUUUAUAGUUGAAAACGAGGAAAGCGUGGAAGAGUAUUAAGAAAAGAUAAACUUCCCACUAACUCACUGCUGAAACAUCUUAGUAUGUAACACUGCUAGUAACAUCUUGGUGCCUAGUCUUUUUCUAAGCAUACAUAUUAUUCCUUCUUGCUUUUUGAAUAAAAUUUACAACUUUAGACUUAUGCAGUACAGUUCUUUCUUUAAAAUUUUUUCUUCUUAUAAAAAUAAAUCAUAGCAGAUGCUCAGUAAGUAUUUGUGAAUGAAUGAAAGAAUUAAUUAUAGAAACUUAGUAGAAUACAGAAAAGCAAAAUAUCAAAAAUGAAUGUCACCAAUAAUACCACUACUAGGAGAUAAUACCACGAUUAGUAGUUUGGAUUGUUCAGUAUGGUUUCAAAUAACCAACAUAUUUUUAUGACAUCACUUCACAAUAAAUGAAGCAACCGUGCCACUGUAGAUAUUUUGUAAAAUACUGAAAACCACAAAAGGAAAAACUAGGAGUCCCACUGCCCAGAGAAUGUUGCUGUUAGCAUUCUCCAAUCUUUUUGGAAAAUUUUUUCCAAUCUUUUUUUUUUUUUUUUUUUUGAGCAGUACAGUAGAUUAGUUAAGAGCCUGGUCAAGUUACUCAGUCUCUCUGAGCCUCAGAUUCCUUAUCUGUAAAAUGAUACUAGGAAUAUCCACUCUGUAAGACUGGUGUGAAAUUUAAAUGACAUAAAAUAUACAAACUGCUUAGUUCAACAUCUUACACAUACUAAGUGCUCAAUAUGGGAACCCUUACCAUUUUGCAAGAUAUUCCUACAGAGUUGGUCAGACUUCACACAUGCAUUUUUUAUCCUUUUUUUUUUUUUUAAAGAAAUAACAUUCCUCAAUCUCAUUUAAUUUUAAAUUUUGAGACAGUCUCAUAUUUUCAGAAAAGUUGCGAGUACAAAGACCUUUUCUCCCCUGAAACAUAUGCAAGGAAGCUGUUGAUCGGAUUCCUCCAUCACUCUUGAAUAUCAUAGUGCAUGUUGACUCAGAGGCAUUCCCCUACAAUUCCAGUGCAAACAGCAAAAUUAGGAAAUUAGCAUUGGUGCAUUGGGAUCUAGUCCUAAAACUCCAGUAGUCAAGUUUCUCCAUGCCUGAAUGACAUACUUUGUAACAAAAGGAUUCCAGUUCUGAACCACACCAUGCAACUAUUCCCCACAUCUCCCUCGUCUCCUUCAGUCUGGAUUAGUUCAUUUCUCCAUCUUUCCUUGACUUUAAUAUCUUUGACGCUUUGAAAGAAUGUAGGCCAGUUGUUUCAUGGAGUGUCCCUCAACUUGUAUGAGAUGUUUUCUCACAAUUAUGUCUUUAUCAGCAAUAACACAGAGAAGUGAUGCUAUGUUCUCUGCUUAUUGUAUCUUACUAGGUAACAUACCUGCUUUGAACAACAGCCUGUGCUGGACCACUGGACCACCUUCCUACACAGAUACUCAUCUCACCCCACCUGGGCUCUGAAAUAUCCUCUUCAGCCUGCCUGGAUGCCAACAUCUUGCACUAGGCUAUCCCUUUGCAAGAACACUCCCCUCGCCCCACGUGAGCUCUGAAACCUCCUGCUGGGCUGUCCCUCCUACCCUCAUUGAAUCCUCAGCCCACCCGGGCUAUCCCAUGCUGGGCCACCCUCUCAGCCUGCUGUGGCUCAGAUGCUGAGCUAAGCUGAGCCUCUGUAGGAGUGGCCCUCUCCUCCUGCGUGCUUUUCUGGUGCUCUCAUUCUAUAAAGAUUUAUAUUAUCUGUGAAUAAUCAAAGUGUUUCCUCAACCUAGAGGUCUGUGUAUGUAUUACUGAUGAUCAAUCAGUAAUAACUUAUUUUUAUUUCAAUGAUGAUCUAAAAAAGUCACAUUAUAAACUAUAAUCAUAUCUGGAAUGUUCAUUUUACAACCACGUUUAGUGUCAGUGCUUUGUGUUUUAAAUUGUGUUGGUACCACAUGAUUAUUAAUGUGGCAAUAUUUAACUUUUAAAGUGUCAGUGGUCUUCAGAUUGGCAUUUCUGGCAUCAAAAUACAAAAACC